rnacentral:rRNA from 1 species
AACGAACGCUGGCGGCAUGCCUAACACAUGCAAGUCGAACGAGACCUUCGGGUCUAGUGGCGCACGGGUGCGUAACGCGUGGGAACCUGCCCUUAGGUUCGGAAUAACUCCCCGAAAGGGGUGCUAGUACCGGAUAAUGUCUUCGGACCAAAGAUUUAUCGCCUUUGGAUGGGCCCGCGUUGGAUUAGCUAGUUGGUAGGGUAAAAGCCUACCAAGGCGACGAUCCAUAGCUGGGCUGAGAGGAUGAUCAGCCACACUGGGACUGAGACACGGCCCAGACUCCUACGGGAGGCAGCAGUGGGGAAUAUUGGACAAUGGGCGAAAGCCUGAUCCAGCAAUGCCGCGUGAGUGAUGAAGGCCUUAGGGUUGUAAAGCUCUUUUAACCGGGAUGAUAAUGACAGUACCGGGAGAAUAAGCUCCGGCUAACUCCGUG